rnacentral:rRNA from 1 species
ACAGCAGCAGCCGCGGUAAUACGAAGGGGGCUAGCGUUGUUCGGAAUUACUGGGCGUAAAGCGCACGUAGGCGGAUCGAUCAGUCAGGGGUGAAAUCCCAGGGCUCAACCCUGGAACUGCCUUUGAUACUGUCGAUCUGGAGUAUGGAAGAGGUGAGUGGAAUUCCGAGUGUAGAGGUGAAAUUCGUAGAUAUUCGGAGGAACACCAGUGGCGAAGGCGGCUCACUGGUCCAUUACUGACGCUGAGGUGCGAAAGCGUGGGGAGCAAACAGGAUUAGAUACCCCAGUAGUCCCUGUCUCUUAUAC